rnacentral:tRNA from 3 species
GCCAGCGUAGCUCAACCGGCAGAGCGGCUGACUUGUAAUCAGCAGGUUGGGGGUUCGAGUCCCUUCGCUGGCUCCA